rnacentral:rRNA from 1 species
GACGAACGCUGGCGGCGUGCUUAACACAUGCAAGUCGAGCGGUAAGGCCCUUUCGGGGGGUACACGAGCGGCGAACGGGUGAGUAACACGUGGGUGACCUGCCCUCAGCUCUGGGAUAAGCCCGGGAAACUGGGUCUAAUACCGGAUAUGACUCCAUGACGCAUGUUGUGGGGUGGAAAGCCUUGUGCGGCUGAGGAUGGGCCCGCGGCCUAUCAGCUUGUUGGCGGGGUGAUGGCCACCAAGGCGACGACGGGUAGCCGGCCUGAGAGGGCGACCGGCCACACUGGGACUGAGAUACGGCCCAGACUCCUACGGGAGGCAGCAGUGGGGAAGUCUUGCGCAAUGGGCGAAAGCCUGACGCAGCGACGCCGCGUGUGGGA